rnacentral:rRNA from 1 species
GGGUUGUGAGGUUAAGCGACUAAGCGUACACGGUGGAUGCCGGCAGUCAGAGGCGAUGAAGGACGUGCUAAUCUGCGAUAAGCGUCGGUAAGGUGAUAUGAACCGUUAUAACCGGCGAUUUCCGAAUGGGGAAACCCAGUGUGAUUCGUCACACUAUCAUUAACUGAAUCCAUAGGUUAAUGAGGCGAACCGGGGGAACUGAAACAUCUAAGUACCCCGAGGAAAAGAAAUCAACCGAGAUUCCCCCAGUAGCGGCGAGCGAACGGGGAGGAGCCCAGAGCCUGAAUCAGUGUGUGUGUUAGUGGAAGCGUCUGGAAAGGCGCGCGAUACAGGGUGACAGCCCCGUACACAAAAAUGCACAUGCUGUGAGCUCGAUGAGUAGGGCGGGACACGUGGUAUCCUGUCUGAAUAUGGGGGACCAUCCUCCAAGGCUAAAUACUCCUGACUGACCGAUAGUGAACCAGUACCGUGAGGGAAAGGCGAAAAGAACCCCGGCGAGGGGAGUGAAAAAGAACCUGAAACCGUGUACGUACAAGCAGUGGGAGCCUCUUUAUGGGGUGACUGCGUACCUUUUGUAUAAUGGGUCAGCGACUUAUAUUCUGUAGCAAGGUUAACCGAAUAGGGGAGCCGAAGGGAAACCGAGUCUUAACUGGGCGUUAAGUUGCAGGGUAUAGACCCGAAACCCGGUGAUCUAGCCAUGGGCAGGUUGAAGGUUGGGUAACACUAACUGGAGGACCGAACCGACUAAUGUUGAAAAAUUAGCGGAUGACUUGUGGCUGGGGGUGAAAGGCCAAUCAAACCGGGAGAUAGCUGGUUCUCCCCGAAAGCUAUUUAGGUAGCGCCUCGUGAAUUCAUCUCCGGGGGUAGAGCACUGUUUCGGCAAGGGGUCAUCCCGACUUACCAACCCGAUGCAAACUGCGAAUACCGGAGAAUGUUAUCACGGGAGACACACGGCGGGUGCUAACGUCCGUCGUGAAGAGGGAAACAACCCAGACCGCCAGCUAAGGUCCCAAAGUCAUGGUUAAGUGGGAAACGAUGUGGGAAGGCCCAGACAGCCAGGAUGUUGGCUUAGAAGCAGCCAUCAUUUAAAGAAAGCGUAAUAGCUCACUGGUCGAGUCGGCCUGCGCGGAAGAUGUAACGGGGCUAAACCAUGCACCGAAGCUGCGGCAGCGACACUAUGUGUUGUUGGGUAGGGGAGCGUUCUGUAAGCCUGCGAAGGUGUACUGUGAGGUAUGCUGGAGGUAUCAGAAGUGCGAAUGCUGACAUAAGUAACGAUAAAGCGGGUGAAAAGCCCGCUCGCCGGAAGACCAAGGGUUCCUGUCCAACGUUAAUCGGGGCAGGGUGAGUCGACCCUAAGGCGAGGCUGAAAGGCGUAGUCGAUGGGAAACAGGUUAAUAUUCCUGUACUUGGUGUUACUGCGAAGGGGGGACGGAGAAGGCUAUGUUGGCCGGGCGACGGUUGUCCCGGUUUAAGCGUGUAGGCUGGUUUUCCGUGCAAAUCCGGAAAAUCAAGGCUGAGGCGUGAUGACGAGGCACUACGGUGCUGAAGCAACAAAUGCCCUGCUUCCAGGAAAAGCCUCUAAGCAUCAGGUAACAUCAAAUCGUACCCCAAACCGACACAGGUGGUCAGGUAGAGAAUACCAAGGCGCUUGAGAGAACUCGGGUGAAGGAACUAGGCAAAAUGGUGCCGUAACUUCGGGAGAAGGCACGCUGAUAUGUAGGUGAAGUCCCUCGCGGAUGGAGCUGAAAUCAGUCGAAGAUACCAGCUGGCUGCAACUGUUUAUUAAAAACACAGCACUGUGCAAACACGAAAGUGGACGUAUACGGUGUGACGCCUGCCCGGUGCCGGAAGGUUAAUUGAUGGGGUUAGCGCAAGCGAAGCUCUUGAUCGAAGCCCCGGUAAACGGCGGCCGUAACUAUAACGGUCCUAAGGUAGCGAAAUUCCUUGUCGGGUAAGUUCCGACCUGCACGAAUGGCGUAAUGAUGGCCAGGCUGUCUCCACCCGAGACUCAGUGAAAUUGAACUCGCUGUGAAGAUGCAGUGUACCCGCGGCAAGACGGAAAGACCCCGUGAACCUUUACUAUAGCUUGACACUGAACAUUGAGCCUUGAUGUGUAGGAUAGGUGGGAGGCUUUGAAGUGUGGACGCCAGUCUGCAUGGAGCCGACCUUGAAAUACCACCCUUUAAUGUUUGAUGUUCUAACGUUGGCCCCUGAUCGGGGUUGCGGACAGUGUCUGGUGGGUAGUUUGACUGGGGCGGUCUCCUCCUAAAGAGUAACGGAGGAGCACGAAGGUUGGCUAAUCCUGGUCGGACAUCAGGAGGUUAGUGCAAUGGCAUAAGCCAGCUUGACUGCGAGCGUGACGGCGCGAGCAGGUGCGAAAGCAGGUCAUAGUGAUCCGGUGGUUCUGAAUGGAAGGGCCAUCGCUCAACGGAUAAAAGGUACCCGGGAUAACAGGCUGAUACCGCCCAAGAGUUCAUAUCGACGGCGGUGUUUGGCACCUCGAUGUCGGCUCAUCACAUCCCCGGGCUGAAGUAGGUCCCAAGGGUAUGGCUGUUCGCCAUUUAAAGUGGUACGCGAGCUGGGUUUAGAACGUCGUGAGACAGUUCGGUCCCUAUCUGCCGUGGGCGCUGGAGAACUGAGGGGGGCUGCUCCUAGUACGAGAGGACCGGAGUGGACGCAUCACUGGUGUUCAGGUUGUCAUGCCAAUGGCACUGCCCGGUAGCUAAAUGCGGAAGAGAUAAGUGCUGAAAGCAUCUAAGCACGAAACUUGCCCCGAGAUGAGUUCUCCCUGACUCCCUGAGAGUCCUGAAGGAACGUUGAAGACGACGACGUUGAUAGGCCGGGUGUGUAAGCGCAGCGAUGCGUUGAGCUAACCGGUACUAAUGAACCGUGAGGCUUAACCUUACAACGCCGAAG